AGAACGAACGCUGGCGGCAUGCCUAACACAUGCAAGUCGAACGAGACCUUCGGGUCUAGUGGCGCACGGGUGCGUAACGCGUGGGAAUCUGCCCUUAGGUACGGAAUAACUCAGGGAAACUUGUGCUAAUACCGUAUGAUGUCGAGAGACCAAAGAUUUAUCGCCUAGGGAUGAGCCCGCGUAGGAUUAGCUAGUUGGUGGGGUAAAGGCCUACCAAGGCUACGAUCCUUAGCUGGUCUGAGAGGAUGAUCAGCCACACUGGGACUGAGACACGGCCCAGACUCCUACGGGAGGCAGCAGUGGGGAAUAUUGGACAAUGGGCGAAAGCCUGAUGCAGCGACGCCGCGUGAGGGAUGACGGCCUUCGGGUUGUAAACCUCUUUCAGCGAGGGACGAAGCGAAAGUGACGGUACCUGCAGAAGAAGCACCGGCCAACUACGCGCCAGCAGCCGC
rnacentral:rRNA from 1 species